GCGGAUGUAGCCAAGUGGAUCAAGGCAGUCAAUUGUGAAUCCACCACGUGCGGGUUCAAUCCCUGUCGUUCGCC
rnacentral:tRNA from 1 species